UGCUGGGAGCUGUGGCUGGAGCUGUGAUGUGGGGGAGGAGGUGCUCAGGUGGGAAAGGAGGGAUCUACGCUCAGGCUGCCACGUGAGGCAGCUGCUUUGUGGGGACUGAGUGAUGGAAGAUGUGUUCACGCUCCCACUUCCUGACUCAAGAACCUCUGAUGGUGGCGGGCUGCCCCGCCCUGCUCCCCACACUUUCCUGCCAACAGAGGCGGGCUGGGCCCUCCCCAUCCCUGCCUUUACUCCCUGGGGCUCUAGGCUGCCACUUCCUGCUCCUUAUUGAAAUGAGACUCUGAUGUGACUUUGUUCAUUGCUUGAGUUAAUUAAAGGAGAAGAUUCUAAA